UACAGUCAUAUCACAUAGAAACACCGGUCCUCGUUACGAUCACCGAAGUUAAGCAACAUCGUGUCAGGGCAGUACUUAGAUGGGCGACCGCUUGAGAUUACCAG